ACUGUGGCAUGAACAGAUAAACGAGACAGAUUUUGUGGCAUCAUGCUCUAUUUAAGAACGCUGUACAAAUAUGUUACAUUUCCUAAUCCUCACACUUCUGCUCAGUAAAAGCAUGUCAAGUCCUCUACUGAGAAGAACCAACUACCACGAAGCAAAAAUUCAGUUUCAUUACUCCAGCAACCUUCAGCCGUAUGUUAGACAUACCGAUGAUUAUGGCGAGAGACCGCUACCUGACCCACAUGAAGAAAAUCCUUACUACCCAAAUUUGGAGGAUGAUUAUUAAAGGAAACUCAAUGUCAGCCUUGCAAAUGCUCUUUUGAUUAAAUUCCCCAUUUUACAUGUAAUGUAUCUGGUCCAUUAUUACUUCCUGUGUUGCAAAAAUAAAAUCUCAGCAAUUCAUCUCACACAUUGUAACAAGAAGGCUAUAGACACAUUAUUGGAGACCAGGACCUUGCUCUUGAGAUGCAGCUUUUAAGGGAGUUCCUCUCCCAGAAUUUAAUACCAAACAUAUUGGAGUCUUCGUUGACUAAUUGCUUAGAUUUACUAAUACCACAUCUUAAGUUGUGGCAUGAAGACAGGGUAUGUCCUCAUAUGUGAGUGGCGAAUGAUUCUACCCCUGGAUACCCUUCCCAUUAUGUAU